rnacentral:lncRNA from 12 species
CGCAGCAGUGACGUCGGCGGCGGCGGGCGGGAUUUCCCGGCCCCUCCCGAGCGGCGGGCGAGACCCUGGCGCCGAGUGGGCGCGACCAACGUGGGAGGAGGGCGGCGCGGGCGAGGAGGCGCGGGGCUGCGCGCUCCGCUCGGCGCCGGGCCCGCACCCGCUCUCGGAGCCCCGCACCGGGGGCUGCGAACGCCCCAAGUACUUCGGGCCUGGGCGGCUUCCGCGGCGCGCGGGGCCCGGGCUCCCCCGGCUCCCCCGCCCCCAGCCCCUCGUCGUCUUUCCCCUGCCCGGGCGGAGCUGCUGACGCGGCCCGGAGACCCCGGGGGCGGGGCGCGCCUUCCCCCGCGAGCCGGUGAGCGCCGAGGCGGCGGAGCCGGAGCCCCCGCCCGCCCCCGCCCGCCCCCGCGCGGUCUGGCCGCCCCCCGCGAGCCCCACGUCGGAGACGAAGCCCGCGCGCCCCGCUCCGGUGAGCCUCAAAGGAGGAUCCUCGAAUCAGUCUCUCGUCUGACGACCGUCAGCUGCUCCUACUGCCACCAACUUGUCCCCUGCCCAAGCCUGUCACUGUGCCGCCUCUCAGCAGGUGAUGAAAAAGACAUAAAUAUAUUUUUAUAUGCUGAGGAGAUGGUACCCAGAGAUACCAACAUUACAGGAGGAAGAGGGGUGAGUGAUAGGGCAGAGCCUGAGGAGGACAGGCCCACCAAACGUGAAGUAUCAGCCUUGGAUGAGGAGAUUCUUCUAGCCAAAGUGCCGGAGGACCUGACAGAUGUGGCCUAA